rnacentral:rRNA from 1 species
UGCGAGUCAUUGUAGUAAUACAAGGCAGACGGCUCAGUAACGCGUAGUCNNCNUNNNNUAUGGACGGGAAUAACCUCGGGAAACUGAGUAUANNGCCCGAUAGAACAUUAUGCCUGGAAUGGUUUAUGUUCCAAAUGAUUUAUCGCCGUAGGAUGGGACUGCGGCCUAUCAGUUUGUUGGUGAGGUAAUGGCCCACCAAGACUAUUACAGGUACGGGCUCUGAGAGGAGUAGCCCGGAGAUGGGUACUGAGACACGGACCCAGGCCCUAUGGGGCGCAGCAGGCGAGAAAACUUUGCAAUGUGCGAAAGCACGACAAGGUUAAUCCGAGUGGUUUCUGCUAAAGGAACCUUUUGUCGGUCCUAGAAACACCGAUGAAUAAGGGGUGGGCAAGUUCUGGUGUCAGCCGCCGCGGUAAAACCAGCACCUCAAGUGGUCAGGAUGAUUAUUGGGCCUAAAGCAUCCGUAGCCGGCUCUAUAAGUUUUCGGUUAAAUCUGUACGCUCAACGUACAGGCUGCCGGGAAUACUGCAGAGCUAGGGAGUGGGAGAGGUAGACGGUACUCGGUAGGAAGGGGUAAAAUCCUUUGAUCUAUUGAUGACCACCUGUGGNGAAGGCGGUCUACCAGAANACGUCCNACGGUGAGGGANGAAAGCUGGGGGAGCAAACCGGNAUUAGAUACCCGGGNAGUCCCAGCUGUAAA